UAAAUCUCUUGACAUUUAUUUUGGUCCUUCGAGCCGGAUCAGAAAUAUCAGAACUGUUAUCUGUGACUCUGUUCCAGGAUCUGGCAUACUGUUUCCUGACGCCGUGGAGCCAGCACCGAAGUCUGUGCACAGCCCUCUUAGAUGAGGCCGAAAGCCCUGGAACGUGUGAAUUCGGGUCCAGGCCGGUGUUUUUAGUCUGGUCCACGGCGGUGGGAUUCAGUCUGACGAUCCGAAUCACCAGUGAGACGUCUGAGAGGUGAGAAACACUAUUUUGGUUAGGAAUCGCCAUAAUGAACCGACAAAUAAAAAAGGUUAGGAAUCGCCAUAAUGAACCGACAAAUUACAAAGGUUAGGAAUCGCCAUAAUGAACCGACAAAUUAAAUAGGUUAGGAAUCGCCAUAAUGAACCGACAAAUAAAAUAGGUUAGGAAUCGCCAUAAUGAACCGACAAAUAAAAUAGGUUAGGAAUCGCCAUAAGGAACCGAAUUAGU